rnacentral:ncRNA from 1 species
GCGAGCCGUAUGAAUUGAAAGGUUCAAGUACGGUUCUGAGGGCAGUUUUAGGUCUUAAAGGCUAGGGCCACUUAGGUGGCCCUCUAGGCAGCCGCCUUAGUGGCCUUAGCCUUCGGCCCCUUUGGUUUCUAAGGGGCCUUUAGGCGAGGGCCGCCAAAGGCGGCUCCCGGGGGUUCCCCCCCGAGGGCCCUUAGGCGAGGGCCAUCUUUGAUGGCCCGGGGGUCCCCCCGUGGGCCACCUUAGUGGCCCGGAGGGCCCUUAGGCCCUCGACCCUUGGUCCAAAACCCUUUCAUGAACAAGUUCAUGAAAUGUUGUCCUAUGGACGCUUCUUCUGACCCCUAC